GACGAACGCUGGCGGCGUGCUUAACACAUGCAAGUCGAACGGAAAGGCCCUGCUUUUGUGGGGUGCUCGAGUGGCGAACGGGUGAGUAACACGUGAGUAACCUGCCCUUGACUUUGUGAUAACUUCAGGAAACUGGGGCUAAUACCGGAUAGGAGCUCCUGCUGCAUGGUGGGGGUUGGAAAGUUUCGGCGGUUGGGGAUGGACUCGCGGCUUAUCAGCUUGUUGGUGGGGUAGUGGCUUACCAAGGCUUUGACGGGUAGCCGGCCUGAGAGGGUGACCGGCCACAUUGGGACUGAGAUACGGCCCAGAAUGCUACGGGCGGCAGCAGUGGGGAAUAUUGCACAAUGGGCGGAAGUCUGAUGCAGCAACGCCGCGUGCGGGAUGACGGCCUUCGGGUUGUAAACCGCUUUCGCCUGUGACGAAGCGUGAGUGACGGUAAUGGGUAAAGAAGCACCGGCUAACUACGUG
rnacentral:rRNA from 1 species